UACGGAGGGUGCAAACGUUGCUCGGAAUCAUUGGGCGUAAAGGGCGUGUAGGCGGUUAGUUAAGUCUGGCGUGAAAGCUCUCGGCUAAACCGGGAGAGGUCGUUGGAUACUGGCUGACUAGGGGACGGUAGAGGCGUGUGGAAUUCCGGGUGUAGUGGUGAAAUGCGUAGAGAUCCGGAGGAACACCAGUGGCGAAGGCGACACGCUGGGCCGUACCUGACGCUAAAGCGCGACAGCAUGGGGAGCAAACGGG
rnacentral:rRNA from 1 species